UACGUAGGGAGCAAGCGUUGUCCGGAAUCAUUGGGCGUAAAGCGCGCGUAGGCGGCCUCGUAAGUCCGUUGUGAAAGUCAAAGGCUCAACCUUUGAAAGCCGAUGGAUACUGUGAGGCUAGAGUCCGGAAGAGGCGAGUGGAAUUCCUGGUGUAGCGGUGGAAUGCGCAGAUAUCAGGAGGAAUACCGAUGGCGAAGGCAGGUCUCUGGGCUGACACUGACGCUCAUGCACGAAAGCGUGGGGAGCAAACAGG
rnacentral:rRNA from 1 species